rnacentral:rRNA from 1 species
AUGAAUCUGGCAACGGGCGCCAUGGACUCCCUACUCCCCAAGCUGCUCGAGCUCCUCAAAGGCGAGUACAAGCUCAAGAAGGACGUCAAGGAAGGCGUCAAGUCACUCGAGACGGAGAUGCAGAGGAUGCACACUGUCCUCCGCGAGGUGGCGGAGGUGCCGCGGGACCAACUCGACGAGCAGUUCAAGCUCUGGGCAGGGGAGGUGAGGGAGCUCUCCUUCAACAUAGAGGACGUUGUCGACAAGUUCCUGCUGCGUGUCGAUGACGGCUCUGAGACCGCCGGCAAUUCAAACAUGCUCAAACGGCUCACGGAGAAGAUGGUUGGCCUGUUUACCAAGGGGAUGGUUGGCCUGUUUACCAAGGUGAUGGCUCGCCAUGAGAUUGCCGGUGCGAUCAAGGAGAUCAAUAAGCAAGUCCAAGAGGUUGCUAACAGGCGUGCUAGGUACACUACCGACGGUAUUGUAGCUAAGUCUGCAGCUGCGACGUCCAUCGAUCCUCGCCUCCGAGCUCUGUACACGGAAGUGACAGAGCUAAUUGGCAUUGUUGGGAAAAGGGAUCAAGAGCUAAUGAAGUUGCUCUCAGAGGGAGACAACGUGUCCAAGAAAAAACUGAAGAUUAUCUCUGUUGUCGGAAUUGGAGGAUUGGGCAAGACCACUCUUGUCAAAACGGUGUAUGACAAGAUCAAAGGAGAUUUUAAGUAUAAGGCUUUUGUUCCCGUCGGUCAAAAUGCCACCGUGAAGAAGGUUUCAAGAGACAUCCUCCUUGAUAUUGGCAUGUAUCCAAGUCAGUUAACCAUGUUGGAUGAAAGACAGCUCAUCAACAAACUUCGGCAAAUACUCGAGAACAAGAGGUACCUCAUUGUAAUUGAUGAUAUAUGGGAUGAAAACCUAUGGGAAUAUAUCAAAUUGGCAUUCUCCGACAGUAAUGUUGGCAGUCGACUAAUCACGACAACUCGUAAAGUUAGCAUGUCUAAAUUAUGUUGCCCAUCUACUAAUGAUUCAAUUUAUCAAAUGGAACCUCUUAGUUUUGAUGAUUCAAAAAGACUCUUCUAUAAAAGGGUAUUUUCCGACGAGAGUGGAUGUCCUCGUGAAUUUGAAAAAGUGUCUAUAGAUAUAUUGAAGAAAUGUGGUGGAGUGCCAUUAGCGAUCAUCACUAUGGCUAGUCUUUUGGCUAUUGAUCAACGGGUAAAACCAGAGGAUGAAUGGAAUGUUUUGCUUCAGUCAAUUGGUCGUGGACUUACAGAAGUCCCCAGUGUAGAGGAAAUGCGGAGGAUAUUGUCAUUUAGCUAUUAUGAUCUACCCUCCCAUUUGAAGACAUGCUUAUUAUAUCUAAGCAUGUUUCCGGAACAUCACGAGAUUAGAAGAGAUCGGUUGAUAUGGAUGUGGAUUUGUGAAAGUUUUAUCCAAUGUGAAAAAGCAAACACUAGUCUCUUUGAGACCGGAGAAAAAUACUUCAAUGAGCUAGUGAAUAGAAACUUGAUCCAGCCGGUAUAUGGUGACGAAGGCAUGGUAUAUGCUUGUCGAGUACACGUUAUGGUGCUCGAUCUAAUUUCGUCCUUGUCAAGCAAAGAGAACUUUGUUACCAUAUUAAAUGGUACUGGUGAUGGCAUGUCUUCUAAGAGCAACGUCCGCAGGUUGUCUAUCCAAAAUGCUAGUAAAGAAGAACAUCAUUCCAAAAAAAGAAAAAGGAGAGAAGAACAUCAUUCGAAAAAAGGAAAAAGAAAAGAAGAACAUCAAACCACACCUCUCAAAUCUGUGAGUAUGUUGCAAGUGAGGUCCAUUGCUUUAUUUGAACCUGCUAUUGGUCUAAUGCUGCCUUUCUCGAGAUUUGUUGUUUUACGUGUAUUGGAUUUGACUGGAUGUGAUCUUCGUGAUCAGAAUCAUCUUAACAUUCGAGAGUUGGGGGGUUUAUUUCACCUAAGGUAUCUAGGUUUAGGCCAAACAGGAAUUUCUGAGCUCCCGGAAGAACUUGGAAAGUUGAAGUUUUUGCUGGUGCUGGAUUUGAGUGGAGAUUUUAUUAAAGAACUGUCAACGGUUAUUAAGCUGAGAAGAUUGAUGUGCCUACUUGUUUACUUCAAAUACAAGAGGCUUCCAGAUGGGUUGGGAAACCUGACAUCAAUGGAAGUGCUGCGUACGAUCCGUGGCAAUUCUAUAAGCAUUGUGAAAGAGCUGGGCAACAUGGAAAGAUUAAGGGAGCUCGGAAUUUUGUUUGAUGAUUUGAGCUUGGAGAUGGAGGAAGCUUUUGUGGAGUCACUAGGGAAAAUGUCCAACAUCCAGAGUCUAUACAUUACCGUCCGGGAUGAUGAUUAUGUACCCAUGGAUGUCUUGGGGGGAAGUUGGGUGGCCCCUCAACGUCUCCGGGAAUUUCUCAUAGCGAGAUCUGCCAAAUUCUCUACACUGCCAACGUGGAUAAAGAGGGGUCCAUCGCAUCUGUUACAACUCUCCAUCUUAAGGAUCUUUGUCAGGGAUGUGCGGCAGGAGGAUCUGGAAAUCCUUGCAAGGUUACCAGCUCUUCGUUGUCUCAGCUUGCGAAUGGAGGAUCCGGAAAUCCAAAGGCAGCUAGUUGUCGGUGAUGAUGGGUUUCGUUGUCUGACAUCAUUCGAGCUGUUUACCGAGUUUCUGGGCCAUAUCGUGUUUCAACCAGGAGCUCUGCCCAAGGCUAAACAAGUGAGGUUCAGUAUCGGUCUGCGGGCCGCAAAAGAGCCAGCAGCUGGUAAUGGUGGUGAUUGUUUUGACCUGGGUCUGGGGAACCUGCGGUCCCUUCGGGAGGUUCUUGUUGCAGCCAUCCGUUGGGGAGAGGACACCGAGCAAGUGGAGGAUGCGCUGGAGGAUGCCCUGAUGCACGCAAUCUGGGCCCAUCCUAACUGUCCUAGCCAUCAACUGAUCACGGUCCCGGACAUGAAGCGGCUCAUGAUAAGCCUGCCGGCUGCUAUUCCAAACUAUGGACGUAUGUCUGAGCGCUGGAGCAUGGCGGGCGACCUCUUGAGCGACGAGUGA